UUUUAAGGUUGACUUGGGCCUUUCUCUUAUAUUGACCAAAAUAAUCUGCCCAUCUCUUAUGGUGUUUUAUAGCAUGAAAAUUCCUUAUGGCAUCAUUUCACAUGUUAAUUUAGAUUUCCAAGACAUAAGCAAAUCAAUUUGGUCUCACUUCCUUGGUAUGUUGUCUGUGUUUCUUUAACUUCACUUACAAUUUGGUAUGUCAAGUGUUUUCUCAAUAUAUUAUAUAUUUUUAAAUAGAAAUGAGCAUCAUGUAAUCAGUUCAUGCUUCAGUUUAAGGUCAUGAUUUAUAUUUAUUUCUAGAAUAGCCAAAUAAAUGUUUAAGUUUCUUACAUAUAUCAACCAAGCAUUAAUUGAAAAGGAAGUAGCUAAAAAUUAAAGCAUCAUAUCUGAAUUUAGAAGUCAUGGCGGGUGAAACCACAGAAGAAAAAACGAGAGAGGAAAAACAGAGGUGGGGGAUGAAAGGAAAGAAGUGUCUCAAACUCAAAAUGAAGAAGUGAUAGAGAAUUAUCAAUAAGAUGUUGGGUCUUGGGAUCCCUGUCUCUUCACUCAGAUCUCUUGAGUUUAGGAUUCCCCUCAAUAGUGCUUCGGUUAUUUGUUGCUGGAUUUUUUUUCAAUUUUUUUUUUUGGUGACAAAAGAUGGAAGAGGUUAUUUUCUUUCUUGUUACAUAUCUCCUCCCUUUUGCUUUCCUGUUGUGAUUGUGCUGUGCAGGUGUUGUUGUCUCGGGUCUUUCCUCUACCAGCCAUUGUUUCUUGGGUCUCUAAACUGGCAAGCUCUCAUUGUUUUUAUUUGUUGUGAUGAAAUCUGUAAUGGAAGAUUUUUCAAUUUCCAAAGCAAUUCUGAUCAAAAGUGCAAUAAAGGGAUAAAAAUGAAGGUUUAGUUAGUGCCUUGAUCCGUGCUCUAUUUGGUAUCCGAUAGUGAUUUACGUACGUUCCAGAUGCAUCCUAUGACUUGCCUUUGGUAUCCAAAAGAGCCAUUCGGCUUCAAAGACAAGGGAAAGCCAGCGAUUUAGCUGCCAAUUUGCAACUUUUCAUCGUCCAGAACAAUUCACAGGCAACGUGUUUCUAGGCCUACAAAAAUCGCGAAGCAAGCCUUCAUGACAGCUGAUUGUUUAUGUCUAGGAACUAUGGAUGGCAACUUCUUUUGGAUUUGGGGUUCUUUCUCCCUAAUCUUGAUUGCAUAUUGUCUACAAGAUUAAUCAAUACAGUAAAACAAAGAGUGACGGGCAUUGUUAUUUCCAGGAUUGCCAUUGACAGGCCUAGGAAAAAAGAAGGUGUUCAUGUUUAUUUGUGAUUGUAG